rnacentral:lncRNA from 1 species
AAUGGAGUCUCCCAUGUCUACUUCUUUCUACACAGACACAGUGACAAUCUGAUCUCUCUUGCUUUUCCCCACACAAAACAAAACAAAAGCUGAGGCAGGAGGAUCUCUUGAGCCUAGGAGGUCAAGGCUGCAGUGAGCUGUGAUCGCACCACUCCACUCCAGCAUGGGCAACAGAGUGAGACCUGUCUUUAAAAAAAAAAAAAAAAAAGAAUGGGUGUUAAAUAUUGUCAAAUGCGUCUUCAGUCUCGAUGGAGUGAUUUUUUUCUCCUCUGGUGAAAGGUAAGAGCUAAGAGUCACGGUCAGGGACAUACUGAGAAGAUCUUCCUUGCAAUAUUAGCGUUGGCUCCACUAGGGUAGGUAAGUCAUGUUGUUCUUUUUAAUGUACUACUGGAUUCUCUUUUUUAAUUAUAUAUUCUCCAAUUUUGUUAGGAUUUUGCUUUGCAUCAUAAACACAAUUAGUCUGCGGUUUUCUUUGCCAAGUUUGGGGUCAGUGCUACGCUGGCUUCAUAAAGCAGAUGUGCAAAUUUUCCUCCUUAUUCUAUGGUGUGGGAGCUUAAUUGGCAGAAGAGAUCUCAGGUCCUGACAACACGACACACUUAACCUGUGGAACUUUCCAGAAGAGUGUUUAAGGCAGGACAGUGUUCUGACAAUGUUCUCAAUUCCUUUUUAUGAUCACUGAUGUGUUUAGACCUUUGCCCAUUAUUUUUGGUUUCAUUUGUCACUUAUAUUUAAGGUUGCCAGAGUUAGAAUAUAAAAAUAUAGGAUGCCGGCCGGGCACGGUGGCUCACACCUGUAAUCCCAGCACUUUGGGAAGCUGAGGCCGGCAGAUCAUUUGAGGUUAGGAGUUCGAGACCAGCCUGGCCAACGUGGUGAAACCUUGUCUCUACUAAAAAUACAAAAAUUAGCCAGAUGCAGUGGCGGGUGCUUGUAAUCCCAUUUACUCGGGAGGCUGAGGCACAAGAAUCCCUUGAACCUGGGAGGCGGAGGUUGCAGUGAGCCAAGAUUGCACCACUGCACUCCAGCCUAGGUGACAGAGUGAGACUCCAUCUCAGAAAAAUAAAUAAAUAAAUAAAUAAAAAUAUAGGAUGCCCAAUUAAAUCUGAAUGUCAGAUAAAUGACAAUUUGUUUUUAGCCUAAGUAUGUCCUAAGUAUUGCAACUCAACUCCAUUUAUAUUGUCCUAGAAAGGCUUUUAUUAUGUCCAAGUUUUCAAAUUUAUUAAAAUAAAGAUGAGUAAUCUUUUAAGUUCCCCUAUAGAUGUGAUUAUUUCUUCAUUCUCAUUUCUUAUUUUGUGUAUUCAUUUGUACCAAUUCACUAGCUAAUAGCCUAUCUUUUUUUUUUUCAAAGACCUAUUAUUCUGAUUUCAAAUUUAUCAGUUUCUGCUUCAGUUGUUCCUGAGUUCUUUCGCUUUCUUUAUUUUUCCUUUACUGACUUUUUUAUUCUUUUUUUUUUUUUUUUUUUUGUGAUGAAGUCUCGCUCUGUCGCCCAGGUUGUAGUGAAGUGGCAUGAUCUCGGCUCGCCGAAACCUCUGCCUGCUGGGUUCAGGUGAUUCUCCUGCCUCAGCCUCUUGAAUAAAUGGGAUUACAGGCGCCCGCCACCAUGCCUGGCUAAUGUUUGUAUUUUUAGUAGAGAUGGGAUUUCACCAUGUUGGUCAGGCUGAUCUCAAACUCCUGACGUCAAAUGAUUGGCCUGCCUCAGCCUCCCAAAGUGUUGGGAUUACAAGUGUGAGCCACCAUGCCCAGCCUACUUUACUAACUUCUUAAAUAAUAUACUUUAUUUAUUUUUGUUGGUUUGUUUGUUCGUUUGUUUUUCAGACCGAGUCUCGUUCUGUCACCCAGGCUGGAGUGCAGUGGCACGAUCUCAGCUCAUUGCAACCUCCACCUCCCGGGUUCAAGCGAUUCUCCUGCCUCAACCUCCCGAGUACCUGGGACUACAGGCACACGCCACCAUGCCUGGUAAUUUUUUUUUUUUAGUAGAGAUGGGGUUUCACCAUGCUGGCCAGGCUGGUCUUGAACUCCUGACCUCGUGAUCCGCCUGCCUUGGCCUCCCAAAGUGCUGGGGUUACAGGCAUGAGCCACAGCGCCUGGCCUGUUUGUUUUUGAGACAGAGUCUCGCUCUGUCACCCAGGCUGCAGUGCAGUGGCACGAUCUCAGCUCACUGCAACCUCUGCCUCCCAGGUUCAAGCAAUUAUCCUCCCUCAGCCUCCCAAUCAGCUGCGAUCACAGGUGCCCGCCACCACACCUGGCUAAUUUUUUUGUAUUUUUAGUAGAGACGGGGUUUCACCAUGUUAGCCAGGCUGGUCUUGAACUUCUGACCUCAAGUAAUCCACCUGCCUUGGCCUCCCAAAGUGCUGGGAUUGCAGGCAUGAGCCACCGCACCUGGCCUAUUUAUUUUGAUUCUUAUUUUUUAUGUAAUAUUUAAGCAAAUGAAUUUUCCUCCGAGCCCUGCAUUAGCUGUAUCCUGAAGGGUCAGAUCUGUAUUGAUUACAGUGUUAGUUGAAGAUGUCGCCCUUUUGGUAUUGAUUUCCUCUGUGUAACAAGAUGUUUCAAAAGCCAGCUGUAAGAGUCUCUGGCUGGGCUGGGAAUGCACACUGGCUGGCACUGCUGGUGGUGCAGAAUGGAUGUAGGGGCAGGGCCUGGGCAAGUCUCCCAGGGUGGGAUGAGCAGGGAGGGAGAGGAAUGGGCUUCCUCCAGGGCCUCAGGAACCAAGGAAGUCUCUGCACUACCUCCAGGCAGGGUCAGAUGUGCAUUUUCCAAAGCUUAUUGCAUUAGGAGUGGGGAGUAGACUGUGGUGGUGCCAGCAGCAAAAAGAUGGAAAAGAGAGAAGGAGGUGGAGUCAGGGCUGAACCACACAGCUGGAGGGAAGAGGGGGGUUCUACGAGUAGCGCAGGAGGGAGGCGAGGCAGGCACCGCAGAGCUUCCAGCUGCCUCAGGGCCGACUUCCAUUUGGCACUUUGAGUCCAAGGUGCCUGUGCACCUUGUCCAGAUGCUCUGGAGGUGGUUGCUCGGGUAUGUGGGUCUGAGACUCCAAACAGCUCGGCCAAAGCCGACAUGGAGAUCCAUCAGUUCACAAGUAGUGAAUGAGCCUUCUCAGGUGGGUGGCAGUCCCAGGGUGGCCAAGGGUCCAGGGAGUGCACCCUCACUCUGCAGGUGAGUCAGAAUCAGGCACCACAGAGCCAGGGUUGCACCCCUGCUGGGGGGAACAGGAGCCCCUUUUCCUCUCCCCGACACACAGGGACAAAGUUAUCAUGCUCUUUGGGUGCCACUGGGAGGCACUGAUGGGAGAGACUGGCCAGGCCUUCCCAAGCAAGCUCCAGGCAGCCUCCCAGCACCCCGGCCCAGGCGCAGGUGUGGUCUGGGAGCACAGAGCCAGGUUCCCACCGUGGGGCACCUGAGGUUUGUGCCUAGCAGCCUUCUCCUCCUUUGGUUCCCUUUUCCUUUUUGGUCCACAGGGUUUGGGACAGGUGGCUGCUACCAACAGCUCUCAAGGUGGCCCCACAGACCUGAGCCAACCACUUCUCCUCAGCCCUCCCCUGCCCAUGAAGACUGCUCAGAGGGGCCCCAUUGAGAGCUGGAUCUGGGACUUUGUUUAAACUGCAAGGAGAGAAGCUCUGUCACCCUGCAGGGCGUGAAGUUCAGCUGAAGCCAUUGAGAUCAUGGCCUGGGAGCCUAUCUAGCAGGAGGCUACCACACGGAGGGCCCUGACGGUGUGAGUUCGGCCUCUGGAUCCCACCACACUGAAGCACUCCAGAGACUCCCUUCUCUCUAAACCCACCAGUUCUGCUCCCUGGACCCCUGACCCAGCCGUGCUGCUUUCAAAGAUCUGUCUUCCACUGCCUCCCAAAGCCAGAUCGCAGGAGAAGCUGGUGGUCUCGCAUCUGCCUGAAUUCUGACAGCGGCCCACGAGAGUCGGUGAUGAUGGCAGGUCUGCCCAAGUGGUGGGCCGGCUUGGCCCCCUCAUCUCAAAGUGAGCCAUGUUUUGCUCCCAGACCUUCCUCCUAGUCUGCCAGACCACCUCUUCUAGCCAUGCAGUCAAGCCCAGAUUAGGAAUUAGCCCCAUCCAGCCCCUCUCCCACAUACAACCUCCAAAUAUAUCCACAUCCCAAUCCCUAGAACCCAAGAUUAGACCUUAUAUGGCAAAAGUGACUUUGAAGAUGUGAUUCAAUUUUUUGAGAUGGGGAGAUUAUCCUGGACCAUCCAGGUGGACCCACUAUGCCCCCAAAAUUCACGUGUUGAAAGCUAAUCACCAAUGUGAUAGCGUUAGCAGGUGGGGCCUUUGGGAUGUGGUUAGGUCAUGAGGGUAGAGCCCUCAUGAAUGGGAUUAGUGCCCUAUAAAAGAGACCCCAGAAGCCAGGCAUAGUGGGCUGCACCUACAGUCCCAGCUACUGAGGAGGCUGAGGCAGGAAGAUCUCUUGGGUACAGGAGUGAGCUAUGAUCACGCCAUUGUACUCCAGCCUUGGUGACAGAGUGAGACCCUGUCUCUAAAGUAAUUAAAUAAAAGAGACCCCAGAGAGCUAGCUAGCUUCUUCCACUAUGUCAGUUAGAAGGUGCCAUGUAUGAGGACAUGGGCCCUCACAGGACAUCAAAUCUGCCAGUACCUUGAUCUUGGACUUCCCAGCCUCCAGAGCUGUGAGCAAUAAAUUUCUGGAAAAUGCUAUAAGCCACCCACUUUCCAGUAUUUUUGUUAUGGCAGCCCAGGCAGACUAAAACAACCUCUGUGGCACAUUUGGGGUGAUGGAGGAACAGCCGAUGUUCCUAGGAACCAGUGAGGCGCAGGAGUCCCAGAUCCCUCUAGUGAGAUCCCCAGAGAGCACCACGUACCCACCCUGCAGCUGGCAAAGCUAUUUAUGGAAGUUAGGGGCCUGUUGGUUUAGAGCGGCCAUUCUCAACCAGGGGGAUGUGGCACUGUCUUGAGACAGUUUUGGUUGUCAUGAGUGGGUGUGUGCGGUGGGGAGUGCUACUGCAUCACACAGGCUGAGGCACGGGAUGCUGCUCAACAUCCUACAGUGUGGGGACAGCCCCCCACAACAAAGAAUCAUUUCAUUCGAAACAUGGAUGAGGACCAAGCGCAGUGACUCACACCUGUAAUCCCAGCACUUUGGGAGGCCGAAGCAGGAAGAUUGCUUGAAGCCAGGAGUUUGAGACCAGCCUGGGCAACAUGGUGAAACCCCAUCUUUACAAAAAAAGCAAAAAAUCAGCCGGAUGUGGUGACACACACCUGUACUCCCAGCUACUUGGGGGCCUGAGGUGGGAGGAUUGCUUGAGCCCAGGAGGUCGAGGCUGCAGUGGGCUGAGACUGCACCACUCCACACCAGCCUGGGUGAUAAAGUGAGACCCUGUCUCAAAAAAAAAAAAAUUAGCUGAGCACGGCAGCGUGCAUGGUGGUUUGUGCCUGUAGUCCCAGCUACCUGAGAGGCUGAGUUGAGAAGAUGGCUUAAGCCAGGGAGGUGAAGGCUGCAGUGAGCCAAGAUCAUGCCACUGCAUUCCAGCCUGGGUGACAGAGCCAGACCCUGUCUCAAAAAAAAUGACAGAACAGACUCUGUGGCAACAAGAUACCAAAUUAUAAAGAGGACCCAAGGCCAAGCCAGGCAGGGGUUAAUUCAUGGACCCUGCACUUAAAGAAUAAACUAUGUUCUAACAGCAAUGAGGCUUUCCUUUUCCUCCAGCAGCAACAAGCACCGGCCUGAAGCAACAUUAAUACACUUUGCAGCUCAUCCAGCUCACGGAUGCCAACUUAUUGACCCCCUGUUUUUCCAGGCAUAACUACAGCUCCGACUGGACAAGAGACUGAUUUCAGUAACUUUCUCCUGAUAAGAGACCAUUGACCAUGAACUGGCUCUGGCUGGUUUUCAGAAGUUGCUCACUUGCAGGCCUUCAGGCCCUGAAAAGAUGUUUUGACAGAUGGGGCCUAAUUGUAAUACAUUUUAUUUUAUUUUAUUUAUUUUAUUGAGAUGGAGUCUCACUCUGUUGCCCAGGCUGGAGUCCAGUGGCACCAUCUUGGCUCACUGCAACCUCCGCCUCCUGAGUUCAAGCAAUUCUUCUGCCUUGGCCUCCUGAGUAGCUGGGAUUACAGGCGCCCGCCACUGUGCCCGGCUAAUUUUUAUAUUUUUAGUAGAGUUGGGGUUUCACCAUGUUGGCCAGGCUGCUCUUGAACUCCUGACCUCAUGUGAUCCACCCGCCUCGGCUCCACAAAGUGCUAGGAUUAUAGGCGUGAGCUACCGUGCCUGACCUUGUAAUACAUUUUAAUGUUAAGUCUCCACCGUCUUCAUCCUACAGCAAACAUGAGUCCUAUGUUACAUGCAUGUUCGUUCAAUACACAUGUGUCAAGACUGCCUUCAUGAAUAUUCAUAGCUCUCCCUGUAACAUGUUGAAUAUGUAUGUUUAGCCAACCCCUUCAGCAUACAGCUCCUGCCCCAACCUCUCCUCCUUAGAAGUGCCUAUCUCCGGAUCACGAGAUCAGGAGAUCGAGACCAUCCUGCCUAACACAGUGAAACCCCGUCUCUACUAAAAAUACAAAAAAAAUUAGCCGGGCGUGGUGGCGGGCGCCUGCAGUCCCAGCUACUCGGGAGGCUGAGGCAGGAGAAUGGCGUGAACCUGGGAGGUGGAGCUUGCAGUGAGCCGAGAUCGUGCCACUGCACUCCAGCCUGGGCAAGAGAGCGAGACUCCAUCUCGAAAAAAAAAAGAAGUGCCUGUCUCUGGUCUCUGCCAGAGGCUAUGCUUUUGAAAGUGGCGGAUGGCCACCCUGCAGUCUGUAACCCUUUAUGAAAAAUAAAGUUGCCGCUGUGGCUCACACCUGUAAUCCCAGCACUUUGGGAGGACAAGGCAGGCGGAUCACUUGAAGUCAGGAUUUCAAGAUGAACCUGGCUACAUGGUGAAACCCCAUCUCCACAAAAAAUACAAAAUGAGCCGAGUGUGGUGGCACGCACCUGUAAUCCCAGCUACUCAGGAGGCUGAGGCAGGAGAAUCGCUUGAAGCUGGGAGGCAGAAGUUGCAGUGAGCUGAGAUUUUGCCACUGCACUCCAGCUUGGGCAACAGAGUGAGACUUUGUUUCACAGAAAAAAAAAAAAAAAGAAAGUAAGUUGGGGGAUGGGGGAGAGCUUCAGGAAGAAUAGCUAAUGGAUGCUGAGCUUAAUACCUAGGUGAUGGGUUGAUCUCUGCAACAAACCACCAAGGCACAUGUUUAUCUAUGUAACAAACUUGCACAUCCUACGUAUGGGCCCCUGAACUCAAAACACAAGUUGAAGGAAAAAAAAAAAAGAAAGUCUUGUCGGGCAUAGUGGCUCACACCUUAAUCCCAGCACUUUGGAAGGCCGAGGAGGGAGGAUGGCUUGAGACCAGGAGUUCAAGACCAGCCUGGGCAACAUAGCGAGACCCUGUCUCUACAAAAAAAAUUUUAAAAAUUGGCCAGGUGUGGUGUUGCACACCCGUAGUCCCAGCUACUUGGGAGGCUGAGGCAGGAGGAUGGCUUGAGCCCAGGAGGUUGAGGGUGCAGUGAGCCGUGAUUGCACCACUGCACUCCAGCCUGAAUGACAGAGCAAGACCCCAUCUCAAAGAAAAAAGAAAGAAAGAAAAAAUGAAAGGAAAGAAGAAAGAAAAAAGUCUCUUUUCCAAAUUUGUGAAUUGUGUGAUUUUUCAGUUAACCAGCUCUCAGGUCCGAGACGGCGUACACACAGGCCCC